rnacentral:rRNA from 1 species
UACGGGGGGAGCAAGCGUUGUUCGGAUUUACUGGGCGUAAAGGGCGCGUAGGUGGCCUUUUGAGUCAGACGUGAAAUCCCCCGGCUUAACCUGGGAACUGCGUCUGAUACUGGAAGGCUUGAGUUCGGGAGAGGGAUGUGGAAUUCCAGGUGUAGCGGUGAAAUGCGUAGAUAUCUGGAGGAACACCGGUGGCGAAGGCGGCAUCCUGGACCGAAACUGACACUGAGGCGCGAAAGCGUGGGGAGCAAACAGG